UAUAUUUUAUCUAUGGGAUGAUUAAUGCAGGAAGAUAUUGCCGAGGGAUAUAGAAAUCAGGAUUCCCACAAAAUUCUCAAUCCAUUAGCAGGUCAUAUUGAUGUGCCUUCACCAGUCUCUUUCAUGUCUACAUUGGACAACACUAUGAUGAAGAUCUACACCUCGAUGAACCUACAACAAACCUUGCUUCACGAGGUCAGGAUCCUCCACCACCUAGGAAGGUAGAUGAUCACGAGAGGCUCGUCAAAGAUAUCGAAUUGUGUUUUACUUCUUGAAGAGUAUUAACUUUGAAGGAUGUAAUUUAUACUCCUUUCAUGAAAACAUUUUGAUGUCUAGUUUUCUUUUUAACAAAGAAGGCUUUAAACAGAUUAUUGAAUCUGAUCAAUAUGUAAUUGUGAAGGAGGGUAUUUUUGUGGGAAAGACGUAUGCUUGUGAUGGGAUGUUCAAGAUGAAUGUUGAGAUAAAAAAAGUUUCUACUU